rnacentral:rRNA from 1 species
AGCGAACGCUGGCGGCAGGCCUAACACAUGCAAGUCGAGCGCCCAGCAAUGGGAGCGGCAGACGGGAUAGUAACACGUGGGAACGUACCUUUCAGUUCGGAACAACCCAGGGAAACUUGGGCUAAUACCGAAUACGUCCGUAAGGAGAAAGAUUUAUCGCUGAAAGAUCGGCCCGCGUCUGAUUAGCUAGUUGGUGAGGUAAUGGCUCACCAAGGCGACGAUCAGUAGCAGUCUGAGAGGAUGAUCAGCAUCACUGGGACUGAGACACGGCCCAGACUCCUACGGGAGGCAGCAGUGGGGAACAUUGGACAAUGGGCGCAAGGCCUGAUCCAGCCAUGCCGCGUGGAUGAUGAAGGCCUUAGGG